UCCAUUUUCCAAAAAAAUGUGUAAAAUAUGACUAGAACAUGGGCAUUGCACCAAAUAUCGAUCGAAACGUGGCGAGUGAAAUUGUGCUCGAAAUGUGGACAUCUUCUUCUGACCCCAAAACCAUGGAACAAGUCUGGAAAGACAUAACCCUCGCCCCCUCCCAUCUCCACCUCACCACCGCCGCCGCCGGAAAGAAGAGGUUACAGGGUUUCGACAUCACUUCCGCCGACGACCGCCACCAUAAGCGCAUGAUCAAGAACCGCGAGUCUGCUGCUCGCUCCAGAGCUAGAAAGCAGGAAAGUGGAAACCCUCUCUCUCUUUAUAGAAUUUUAUACUCCUACUACUAUUAAAAAAAAUUAAUCUUUGUGAAAUUUAAAAGUAAUCUUGCAAGAAAUUAUUUGCAGGCUUAUACUACUGAGUUGGAGUUGGAAGUAGCCCAUUUGCUUCAAGAGAAUGCCAUGCUCAGAAAGCAGCAACUACAGUUUUAUAGAGAAGAAGCAGCUGCUGAGGACCACAAAAGGAAGCCUCUCCAUAGAACUUCAACUGCUCCAUUUUGAUUAAAUCACUUCAAUUAUAGUAUGUUGUAUUUUUAUGUCAAGAUGUUACAAUGGAUUUUCUUUGGAGGGUCAUUUUUCUCUUUUGUUGGAAUCCAUAACCAAGAUAUGAAUAUAUCUUACUUUUUCAAUGCUA